CCAGCCCCAGCCCCAGCCCCAGCCCCAGCCCCAGCCCCAGCCAUCACCCUAACCCUGCUUCUCCCUAAAGUCACUCCAAUCUGCAUUGAUUUGGUGCUAAAAGUUGUCCAUUGCUCAUCCAUAAGACUGGAAUAACCCUGUGUGCCUCUAGCAUUGCUGACUUUCCGAGCUGACUACCUGAGUUAUCAUUUUCAAUUAAUGUACUCAGUCCCAUUUGUCCACUGUCCCACGUUAGAACAAUCUAUUCACCUUUGUGUCAAUGUUAGAAAUGUUAAUUAAUUGAGUUUAAUAUCAGAUAACUAUUGUUCAUAAUUUUAGUUACUCAUCAUCUCUAUUCCCUGCCCUUAAGGAAGGAGAAACCAUUCUUCUGUCAUUGCUGCAGUAGUCACAAUCCCAGUUUUCUGGGCAGUGCUCAUAAUAUUGUGCUGGUCACCUGAACUCUACCCUGAGUGAAAUUUUAAUUGUCCUGCCCAUUGGAUUAGAUCCCAGUCCUUUUGCUGAAUUCAGGACUGGGUGCAGAAAACACGAAUCUUUUGUUCAAUAGUUAACAUGCUCAGUCCCAAAUUGUAUUAGCCUUGUCCAUUAAACAAAGGCACCCUACCAUUUUUGUCCUGCUUCUGGGAUGGCCUGCUGUUCUUUGACAAUUAAAGUACCAAACUGUAAUUGUACGUUGUCUUGCCCAGUAAUCAAUGACCCUUCACCCCUUUGCAUUGCCACUAGGCAGUGCUGACUACCUGGGACCACGUUCCUUUGAUGAGUAUAAUCCCAAUUGUCCACACCCCUGUUCAUUACACAAGUCCUUUGCAACUCCUUUGCACUAUAGCAGAUGAGCUCAUCUUCAAAGUCCUUUACUUUGGGAUAUUAAUGAAUACAAUCAUUAAUAUUCAAGAUCCUGCCUAAAAGGUAAGACCCACCCAUGCUCUCUUCUCUUUACUCCUAGGUAGUGCAGACUACUUACUACCCUGCAUUAAUAUGUAAAAUCCUCAUUGCCCACUGUCCCAACAGUUAGUCUAGGAUAUAACUUUAUCUUUAUGCCAUUGCUUAUGAGGGGUUCUGAUUACCCAAGGUCACUUAAACAGUUGAUGUGCAUAAUUGCAUAUGUCCAUGGUGCUGCGCAAUAAAAAAUGGAAUCCCACCCCGUCCUAACCACUUUGGGAUAUUGCUAGUGAGUGCAGAUUAUUCAGGAACUCAGUUGUUGGACAGUUAAUUUGCACAGUUGGAGUUGUGCAGAGUCCUGUCCAUUUGAAAGAGCCACUGUAUUCCAUUUGCAUACUAUAAUGUGGGCUGAUCACUCAAAGACACUUCUCUUGAAUUGAUAAUUUUCAUAAUUGCAUUGGCACAUGUUCUGUGAACUAACCACACCCACUCCCUUUGUAUUCUAGCAGGGGACCCUUACUACUCAAGAACAAUACACUAGGAUAUUUUAUGUGUACAAUAUUAAUUGGCUAGACUGAGCCUUUUGUAUCAGGAACCCUGCACCAUCUCUAUAUCUAAAAAGUGCUAAUUAUCUAAGGCUCUUCUCCUAAAAUUGUUCAUGUGCAAAAUUGCAAUCCCCAAUGUCUCCUACUGUUAACCUAAAAUCCCAUUUCCACCUAACUCCCUUUGCAUUAUUGCAGAGGGCACUUGGGUCCUUUAAGGUGCUUAAGGCAGUUAUGGUCCCUUCUGUUAGUCUGGGAUCCCAUCCCCUCCUACUUCCUUUGCAUUACUGCAGAGAAUACUUGGAAACGUUAAUGUGCUUAACUGCAGCGAUAAUUCCUUCCAUUAGUCUAGGAUCCUAUACCCUCCUACUCAUUUUGCAUUAGCACAGAUUGUACAUGGGACUGUUAAUGUGUUCACAUGCAGCUCUGUCCCUUAUGUUGGUGUGUAUGAUUCUAUCCUCUUUAACUCCCUGUGCAUUACAGCAGAGGGUAGUUGGGAUCUUUAAGGCCCUCAAAGGCAGCUAUGGUGCCUUCUGUUAGUCUAAGAUCCCACCCCCUCCUACUUCCUUUGCAUUUCUGCAGAGGAUAUUUGGGACUGCAAUGUGCUUAAUUGCUGCCAGAGUCCUCUCUGUUUGUCUAGGAUCCCAAUCUCCUCCCUCUUACUGAGUUUGCAUUACACAGAGUACAAGGGACUGUUAAUGUGCCUAAGUGGCAGCUAUGGUCUCUUCUAUUAACCUAGGUUCCCAUCCCAAUCUAAAUUCUUUUGCAUUACUGCAGAGGGUACUUGGGACUGUUAAUGUGUGUAAUUGUAGUUACAGUCCCUUCUGUUAGAUCCUGUCCUCACCUGCUCUCUUUGCAUUAUCAUGAAGGGUACAAUGGGACUGUUAAUGAGCUUAAUUACAGCUAUAGUUCCUUCUGUUAAUCUAGUUUCCCACUUAUUCCUGCUUUGCAUUAUAGCAAAGGGUACUUGAGACCUUUAAGGUGCUUAAAUGUAGCUAUGACCCCUUCUGUUUAUGUUCCCAUCCCCUCCUACUUUGCAUUACUGCAGAGGAUACUUGGGACUCUAAAUGUGCCCAAUUACCACUUUCCCUUUUCUUUUUCUUUGUCCCAUCCCCUCCCACAGUUUGUAUUAUCAUAGAAGGUACAAGGGACCAUUAAUGUGCUUAGAGGCAGCUAUGGUUUCCCCUGUUAACCUGGGAUCCUGUCCCCACCUAACUUCCUUUUGCAUUAUUGCAAAGGGUACUUUGGACUAUUAAUGUGCUCUAAGGAAGCUGUGUGGUUCCUUAUAUUACUGUAGGAUUCCAUUGUCUCCAACUCCCUAUGCAUUACAGCACAGGGUACUUGGACCCUUUAAGAUGCUUAAAUGCAGCUAUAGCCUCUUCUGUUAGUUUUAUACUCCCAUCCCCUCCUAUUUCCUUUGCAUUACUGCAGCAGCUACUUGGGACUGUUAAUGUGCUUCAUUGCAGCUACAAUCUCUUCUAUUAGUCUAGGGUCUCAUCCCUUCUAGUUGCUUUGCAUUAGCACACAAUAUACAUGGGACUGUUAAUUUGCUUAAAUGCAGCUCUGUCCCUUAUGUUAAUGUAGCAUUCCAUCCAACUCCCUAUGCAUUAGAACAGAGGGUACUUGGCACCUUUAAGGUGCUUAAAUGUAGCUGUGGUGCCCCCUGUUAGUCUAGGAUCCCAUUCCCCUUCUACUCCCUUUACAUUAAUGGCAGGACAUUUGGGACUGUUAAUGUGCUUAAUUGCAGUUACAAUCCCUUCUAUUAAUCUAGUUAUCCUAUGCCUUCUCACUUCCUCUGCAUUAGAGCAGAUGGAGGAUUUGGGACUGUUAAUGAGCUUAAUGCAGCUAUAGUCCCUUCUGUUAAUCUAGUUUCCCAUGUACUCCUACUUCCUUUGCAUUACAGCAGAGGGUACUUCAGACCUUUAAGGUGCUUAACUGCAGUCAUGGUCCUGUCUGUUAGUUUAGGAUCUCAUAUCUUUCAACUCCCUUUGUAUUAUCUUUGGGACUGUUAAAGUGCUUAGUUGCAGCUGUGGUCCCUUUUCUUAGUCUAGGGUCCUUUCCCUUGUUACUCACUGCAUUACCUGGGAGUGGAUUUGGGACUAGUAAUGUGCUCAUUUGCAAUUGUGGUCCCUUUGGUUAGUCUGGGGUCCCAUGUCCUCCAACUCCUUCUGCAUACAGCAGAGGCUACUUGGGACUCUUAAUAUGUUUAAUUUUAGCUGUGGUCCCUUUCAGUACUCUAGGAUUCCACACCCUUCUAUUCACUUUGCAUUAGCACACAGUGUAUAUGGGACUGUUAAUGUGCUUAAAGGUAGUUCUGUCCCUUAUGUUAAUGUAGGAUUCCAUCCUUUCCAACUCUCUAUGCAUUAGAGCAGAGGGUACUUGGCACCUUUAAGAUGCUUAUACAUAGCUGUGGUCCCCCCAGUUAGUCUAGGAUCCCAUCCCCCUUCUACUCCCUUUACAUUACAUGGCAGGGCAUUUGGGACUGUUACUGUGCAUAAUUGCACUUACAAUCCCUUCUGUUAGUCUAAGAUCCUAUGCUUUCCCAUUUCCUUUGCAUUAGAGCAGAUGGUAUUUGGGACUGUUAAUGAGUUUAAUUGCAGCAGCUAUAGUCUCUUCUGUUAAUCCCAUGCACUCCUACUUCUUUUGUGUUAUAGCAGAGAAUACUUGAGACCUUUAAGGUGCUUAAGAGCAGGUAUGGCCCCUUCUGUUAGUUUAUGUUCCCAUCUCCUCCUACUUCCUUUGCAUUACUGCUGAGGCUACCUGGGACUGUUAAUGUGCCUAACUGCCACUAUAGUCCCUUCUGUUUGUCUAGAUUCUCAUCCUCUUCUGCAUGGAUUACAUUACCACAGAGGAUACAAGGGACUGUUAAGGUGCUUAAAUGCAGCUACUGUCUUUUCUGUUAACUCAGGUUCCCAUCCCCACCUAAUUCCCUUUGCAUUAUUGCAGAGGGUACUUGAGACACUAAUGAACUUAUUGUAGCAUUGGUCCCUUCUGUUAGACUGGGAACCCACCCUCACAAACUCCCUUUACAUUUUAAUGGAGAAUACACGGGACUGUUAAUGUGCUUAAAUGCACCCACAGACCCUUAUAUUAAUGUAGGAUUCCAUCCUUGCCAAACCUUCUAUGCACUACAGCAGAGAGUAGAUUCUACCUUCAAGGUGCUUAAAUGUGGCUAUGGCCCCUUCUGUUAGUUUAGGUUCCUGUCCUCUCCUACUUGCUUUGCAUUACUGCAGAGGAUACUUGGGAUGUUAGUGUGCCUAAUUGCUGCUACAAUCCCUUUUGUUAAUCUAGGAUCCUGUCCCAUUCCACACUGUUUGCAUUACCACAGAGGGUACAAGGGAUUGUUAAUGUGCUUAAAUGCAACUAAGAUCUUUUCUGUUAAUCUAGGACCCGAUCCCCACCUAACUCUGCAUUAUUGCAGAGGCUACUUGGGACUGUUAAUGUGCUCUAAUGCAGCUGUGGUCCCUUUUGUUAGAUGAGGAUCCCAUCCCUACCUGCUCCCUUUGCAUUAUCAUGGAGGGUACCUGGGACUGUUAAUGUGCUUAAAUGAAGCCAUGGUCCCUUAAGUUAGUGUAGGAUUUCAUCCUCUCCAACUCCCUGUGCAUUACAACAGAAGGUACUUGAGACUUUUAAGGUGCUUUUAAGCUAUGGUGCUUUCUGUUAGUCUGGGAUCCCAUUGCUACCUAACUCCCUUUCAAUUACUGCAGAAGGUACUGGAAAUCUUUAAGAAGCUUAAAUGCAGUUACAACCCCUCUGUUAGUGUUCCCAGCCCCUCCUACUUACACUUUGCAUUAUUGCAGAGGAUACUUGGGACUGUUAAUAUGCCUAAUUGCCACUACAGUCCCAUCUGUUUGUCUAUAAUCCUAGCCCCUCCUAAACGUUUGCAUUUCUACAGGAGGCACAAGGGACAAUUAAGUGCUUAAAUGCAGCUAUGGUGUCUUCUGUUAGUCUAGGAUCCUAUCCUCUACCUACUUACAGAAGGUACAAGGUACUGAUAAUGUGCUUAAGUGCUGCUAUAAUCCCUUCUGUUUGUCUAGGAUCCUGUCCCCUCCUACAGGGUUUGCAAUACCACAAAAAGUACAAGGGGACUGUUUAUGCUUAAAGGCAGCUCUUCUUUUACCUAGGAUUCCAUCCCCACCUAAUGCAUUUGCAUAGUUGCAGAGGGUACUUGGGACUGUUAAUGUGCUUAAAUGCAGCUGUGAUCCCUUAUGUUAAUGUAGGAUUCUAUCCUCUCCAACUCCCUAUGCUUAAUAGCAGAUGGGACCUUCAAAGUGCUUAAGUAUACUUACAGUGCCUUUUGUUAGUCUGGGAUCCCAUCCCCACCUAACUCCCUUUGCAUUACAGCAGAGAGUACUUGAGAUCUUUAAGAUGCUUAAAUGCAGCUAUGCCCCCUUCUGUUAGUUUAUGUUCCCAUCCCUUCCUACUUUGUAUUACUACAGAGUACACUUGGGACUGUAAAUGUGCCCAAUUACUGCUAUAGUCCCUUCUGUUUGUCUAGGAUCCCAUCCCCUCCUACAGAGUUUACAUUAUCACAGAGUGUACAAGGGAUUGUUAAUAUGCUUAAUUGUAGUUAUAGUCCCUUCUGUUAGACUAGGAUUCCAUCUCCACCUACUCCAUUGCAUUAUCAUGGAGGGUACAUGGUACUGUUAGUGUGCUUGAAUGCAGCUACAGCCCAUAUGUUAGCAUAGGGAUUUCAUCCUCUCCAACUUCCUGUGCAUUAUAACAUAGGGCAUUUGGGACCUUAAAGGUGCUAAAAUGCAGCUAUGGCCCCUUCUAUUAGUUUAUGUUCCCAUUCUCUCCUACUUCCUUUGCAUUAUGUUUCCCAUUCUCUCCUACUUCCUUGGGACUCUUAAUGUAGGUAAUUGGUACUACAGUCCCUUCUGUUAAUCUAAGAUCCCAUUCCCUCCUACUUGCUUUGCAUUACCACAGAGGGUACAAGGGACUGUAAAUAUGCUUCAAUGCAGCUCCUGUCCCUUAUAUUAGUAUAGUAUUCCAUCCUCUCCAAUUCCUUAUGCAUUACAGCAGAAGGUAGUUGGUAUCUUUAAGGUCCUUAAAGGCAGCUAUGGUGCCUUCUAGUAGUGUAGGAUCCUAUCCCCUCCUACUGACUUUGCAUUACUGCAGAGGAUACUUGGGACUGUUAAUGUGCUUCAUUGCCACCAGAGUCCCUUUAAUUUGUCUAGGAUCCCAUCCCCUUCUAUUUGCUUUGCAUUAGCACACAAUAUACAUGGGACUGUUAAUUUGCUUAAAUGCAGCUCUGUCCCUUAUGUUAAUGUAGCAUUCCAUCCAACUCCCUAUGCAUUAGAACAGAGGGAACUUGGCACCUUUAAGGUGCUUAAAUGUAGCUGUGGUGCCCCCUGUUAGUCUAGGAUCCCAUUCCCCUUCUACUCCCUUUACAUUAAUGGCAGGACAUUUGGGACUGUUAAUGUGCUUAAUUGCAGUUACAAUCCCUUCUAUUAAUCUAGUUAUCCUAUGCCUUCUCACUUCCUCUGCAUUAGAGCAGAUGGAGGAUUUGGGACUGUUAAUGAGCUUAAUGCAGCUAUAGUCCCUUCUGUUAAUCUAGUUUCCCAUGUACUCCUACUUCCUUUGCAUUACAGCAGAGGGUACUUCAGACCUUUAAGGUGCUUAACUGCAGUCAUGGUCCUGUCUGUUAGUUUAGGAUCUCAUAUCUUUCAACUCCCUUUGUAUUAUCUUUGGGACUGUUAAAGUGCUUAGUUGCAGCUGUGGUCCCUUUUCUUAGUCUAGCGUCCUUUCCCUUGUUACUCACUGCAUUACCUGGGAGUGGAUUUGGGACUAGUAAUGUGCUCAUUUGCAAUUGUGGUCCCUUUGGUUAGUCUGGGGUCCCAUGUCCUCCAACUCCUUCUGCAUACAGCAGAGGCUACUUGGGACUCUUAAUAUGUUUAAUUUUAGCUGUGGUCCCAGUAGUUUAGGAUCCUUUGUAUUACCUUUGUAUUAUCAGAUGGUAUUUGGGACUAAAAAAUGCUUAAUUGCAUCUCUGGUCCCUUCUGUUACAGGAUCCCAAUGUUGUCCAACUCCCUGUGCAUUACAGCAGAGGUCAUUGGGGCUGUUAGUGGGUUUAACUGUAGCUGUGGUCCCUUCUGUUAGUCUAGUAUCCCAAGCCCUCCAACUGCCUUUGUGUUACCUGGGAGUGUAUUUGGGACUCUAAGUUGCUUAACUGCAGCUGUUGUCUCUUCUGUUAGUAGUUUCCCAUGCCCUCCUAUUCUCUUUACAUUAUAACAGAGGGUCCUUGGGAUUGUUAAAGUGCUUAAUUGCUGCUGUGGUCCCUUCUGUAAUUCCAGGGUCCCAUCCCCUCCUACUCUGUUUACCUGAGAGGAUUUUUGGGACUGUUAAAAGAGACCACAUAAUUAAAUUAGUAUAGUUUCCCAUGCCCUCCUAUUCUCUUUGCAUUACAACAGAUGGUACUUGGGAUUGUUAAAGUGCUUAACUGCAGGUGGGGUCCCCUCUGUUAGUCUAGGAUCUCUUGUCCUUCCCCCUUUACAUUACCGGGAGCAGAUUUGGGAAUGUUAACAUGCUUAUUAACUACAGUUGUUGUCCCUUCUGUUAAUCUAGUUUCCAGUCCCUUCCAACUGGUUUUCCAUUACCUAGUAACAGAUUUGGGACAAUUAAUAUGCUCAUGUGCAGCUGUGGUCCCUUCUGUUAGUCUAGCAUUCCAUGCCCUCUAACUCCCUUUCCAUUAUAGCAGAGGAUAUUUGGGACUUUUAAUGGCUUAAUUGCAGCCCUGGUCCCUUCUGUUAGUCUAGGAUCCCAUGUUCUCCAACUCACUUUGCAUUACCUGAGAAUGUAUUUGGGACUGUUUAAAUGCUCUAUUGGAGCUGUGGUCCCUUUUGUGUGUCUAGUUUCCCAUGCCCUCCUACUCUUUUGCAUUAUAGCAGUGGAUACUUGGGGCUGUUAAAGUACUUAAUUCCUGGUGUAGUCACUUUUGUUGAUUUAGGAUCCCAUCCCCUUCUACUCCCUUUACAUUAUCUGGGAGGAUUUGGGGGACUUUUAAAGUACUCAUUUGCAGCUGCGGGUCCCCUUUGUUAGUCUAGGAUCCGAUGUCCUCCAACUCCCGUUGCAUUAUAGCAGAUAGUGCUUGGGACUGUAAAUGUGCAUUACAUACAGGUGUGGUCCAUUUUGCUGGUCAUGACCACCUCUUCCCUUUAUAUUACCUGGGAUCAGAUUUGGUACUGAAAGGUGCUUAAUUGCAGCCUGUGUUCCUUUCUGAUUAGGACCCCACACCUCCAUCUCUAUUUGCAUUACAGCAGGGCGUACUUGGGCCUGUCACAUGCUCUGUUGCAGCUGUGGUACCUUCUGUUUUGUAGGAUCCCAUGCCCAUCAUCUCCUUUUUACAUUAUCUGGGAGUGUAUUUGGAACUUAUAAAGUACUUAAUUUUAGCUGUGGUUCCUUCUGUUCAUAUACUUUUCCAUGCCCUCCUACUGUCUUUGCAUUAUAGCAGAGGGUACUUGGAACUGUUAAAGUGCUUCAUUGCAGCUGUGUCACUUUUGUAGUUUAGGAUCCCAUGACUUCCCAGCCCCUUUACAUUACCUAGAAAGGCAUCUGGGACUGUUAAGGUGCUAACUGCAGCUGUGGUCCCUUCUGUUAGUCUAGGAUCCCAUUCUCUUCUACUCCCUUUGCAAUACUUGGGGAAGGUUUUUUGGGACCAUUAAAGGGUGCUGUUGCAGGUGUGGUCCUUUCUCCUACUCUGAGAUCCAUGCCCUUCAAACUUUGUUUGGGUUACUGCUGAGGGCACUUGGUACUAUGUAUGUGCUCAAAUGCAGAUUUGGUCCCUUUUCUUAGUCUCAGAUCUCAUGCCUUCCAACUCCUUGUACAUUAUCAGAGAGGGUGCUUGGGACAGUUUUUAUGCUCAGUUACAACAGUGGUCCCUUUUUUAGUCUAUGAUUUCAUCCCUUGCCCCUUGCCCCGCAACUCCCUUUGCAUUACCACAGAAGGUACUGGAGACUGUUCAGGUGUAUCUCAUUCUCUGACCCCCUGUUAGCAUUAUAGUAAGGGGUGCUGAAUACCAAAGCCCCCUUUUUUUUGCAUUGUUAAUGUGCAUAAUUGCAUUUGUUCAUCUUUCUCUGCAGUAGAUAAGAUUUCACUAACUUCCCUUGUAUUCAGCAGUGAAUGCCCUUUAUUCAAGACCUUUGUACUACAAUAAAGUGAACCAUGGUAAUUGACCACACUGUCAUUCAUUUAAGUCCCCUGUACUCUCUGUAUUAAUUACUUUAGUUAUUUUUUGGGGGGAUUAUUUGUAGCAAAAUUCCAGUGUUUAUGGUCCUUCACUUUUAACUAAUUUCCCACCCUUUUUGUAUUGCAUCAGGGGAUGUUAGUAUCUCAAAGUAUUUCUCUUAGUACUCUAAAUGUGCAUAUACCCUCUUGAUAAGCUAAUAUCUUUAUUUCUUAGUAUUAUAGCAGGGGGUACUAACCACCUAAGGUCCUUCUUUUGGACAGUUAAUGUGCCAGAUUGCACAUCCCCAAAUUGGGGAUCCCAUCCCCAUCACACCUUCUCUGUGUCAGGCGUGCUGACCAACUAUAACUGCUUCUCCUUUAUAGUUUAAAUGUGCAUAAUUACAGUAACCAAUGGUCCCUUAUGUUAGAAUGGGAUCUCAUUUCCUUGCCCAAUUUACAUUACUGUGGGGGCUUCUGACUAGCCCAGAGUCACUCUCUUGGACUGUUAAUGUGCAUACUUAAAUUCACUCUUAUACCUAGAUAAGGAUUCUCCCCAUACUAUUUAUAUUCCAGCAAGAGGUGCCUACUACUUAAGAUUUUACACACUAAUGCAGUUAAUGUGCACAGCCUUUGUUGUCUUGUGCAUACUCAGUUGUCCACAACUGUACCUUUUAGUUCAAGACUCCUGCAAUUACUGAAGCAGAAGUGACUGACCACCUUAAAGCCUUUCUCUUGGGACUCUGGAUGUGUGUAGUAUUGGUUGUCCACUGUCCUUUGAGUUAACUUGGGUCCCUGAGUCUUUUCACAGCCUCUAAGCUUUACUUCAUGGGGUACUGUCCAUUUAAGGCCCCUUUCUCAAACUGUUAAUGUGCAUAAUGACAAUUACAUUAGGAUUCUUCCCCUUUACACUCCCUUUGAAGUACUGCAGGGAAUUCUGACCCAUAAGGUUCCAUUUCAUGGCCUGUUAAGAUGCAUGUUAUAUUUAUCUGGGUUCUUAUGUACUAGAGAAGAAAACCUCUCUCCACUCCCUGUAUCUUCAAGCAGGGAGUGCCCACUGUACAAGACCGUGCCCUGUACAAGACUGUUGAGCAGUCAAGGAAGACAAUUGUAAUUGACCACAGCCAUGCACCAUGGACAUUAAUGUGCAUAAUUGCACAGGCUCAUCCUGUUUGAAUAAGAUACUACCUUCUCAGACCCCAGAAGGGGUACUGAUCAUUAAGGCCUUUUUUUCAUGCCUUGUGAUUAUGCAUAAUUGCAUUUGUACCUUUUUCUGUACACCAAAUAAGGACACCCUCUCCCCACUCCCUUUAUCUUUAGCAAGGAGUGCCCAUUAUUUUAAGAUCCUUGUAUCUGUACAAGAUACAUGGUUUUAGUUGAUCAUACCAUGUCUGUUGGACAUUAAUGUACAUAAUUGCAACUUAGUUCAUCCUACUCUGUUGUAUGUCAUUUGCUAUAUGCUAGGGUUGCUGAUCCCUAACUUAUCCUGUUAAUGUGCAUAAUUGCAUUAGUCUGGGUUCUUGUGCACUAGAUGAGGACAUCCUCCACCCCUACUUCUAUGCCUUCCAGUAGGUGGUGCCCACUGCUGUGACAUUUACAUUUGGAUGGUUAAUGUGCAGAAUUGUAGUUUCCACAACCCUAUCACUUUCAAAAUUAUCGUAUCUGCUUUGCACUGCUGCAGGGGAUACUGUUUUCUCCCCAAGUUCCUUCUAGUAAACCAUUAAUAUUCAUAAUUGAAAUAGUUAUACACCCUCAGCUUCCCUUUGCAGUACAGCAGUGUGUACUGAUCAACCAAGGCCCUCUUUUGGAGUGGUAAUAUGUGCAAUUGCAUUUUUUCCUAUUUUGUGCACUCAGUAAGGAUCCUGCCUACUUCCUUACCAGGUUCAGCAGGUAGUGUCCACUACUUAAGACUCUUUCACUUGAAAAGUUCAUGUGUAUAAAUGCAGUUUGCUAAGUGUGUCUUAUACUAGAACCCCUCUUUGCUUUGGAGUAAGGAGGUGUUAUUUACCUAAUGCCCUUUCUUUUAGACUCUAAUGUGCAUAAUUGCAAUUGUCCAUCUUUUCUGUUGGACUAGGGUUGCAUUCCCUCAAACCCCCUUUGUAUCAGGGGUGUGUUAACCAUAAAUGAGCUCUUCUCUUGAGAUUAUAAUUGUACAGACUUGUAUGUGUCUGUGGAUUUGUGUAGUGUGAAAGGAUGCCCUAUGCAUUUACCACUAUCUUUGGAUUGCUGCUGAGGAGUGCUAUCAUGACCUCAGCUCUUGGACAAUUAAUGUGCACCACUAGCAAUGAUGGGACCUCUGUACCCGCUUUGUAUACAUCAGGGGUACUAAGGCCCCUUUCUUGGACUGUCAAUGUGCAAUUGUCUAUGUUCCCUUCUGUUAAAUUUAGGAUAACAUUCCCUUAAACCCCCUUUGCAUUAAUGCAGGGGUUGCUGACCACACAAAACUCUAUUAGUUUAGAGUUAUUAAACUAUUAGUGGGCACAAUGGCAAUUAGUGGGACUAUUAGUGGGCACAAUGGCAAUUAGCAAUGGGUUUUUCCUCCCUGGCCUUGUUAGGCAAACACUCCCAGCCCCAAUUUCCCUUGGCAUAAUAAAGUAUAAACAUGGCAGUAUGCUGUGAACUUGUCCAUCAAAUAGUACCCCAUACUCCCUCUCCUUUUGUAUUGCUUCUAUGUAUAAAAUUCCAAGUAGUCAUGAUCUUCCCCUUUCUUCCCUCUUCCCACCCCUUGCUCACCCUUGGACCCAUCCAAGGUGCAUAAGCACCAUUCUCACAAUUUCAGGUGUUCAUGUAUUGGGCCACUAAAUAAGAUUGUGUUCCUUUUUCCCUCCCAACGCCACCCUGCCCCUUUUGCGUUGUUGCUGGGGAAUGUUGACUGGGCAAGGCCCUUUCUCUUGGAUUUAAAACAUUGACAAUCCCAGAUGUCAUUGCAUUACUCACUUUGUAUUGCUGUAAUGCCUCAGUUGCACUAUCCUUGGUCCCUCCCAUCAGACAUGGACCCCUCCACUUCUUUGCAUUGCUUCUGAGUAAUGCUGAGUACCCAAAGUCUCUUCUGUGUUAUUAACACAGUACUGAUUGUCCCAUUUUUUUCAGGUCAUCAGCCCAAGAUUUUCCUACCAUUUUGAUGUGUUUGUGCAGUGUUGACUACCCAAAGCAGGCCUGAAUUAGGUGGAUGGACCUUCACUCCUUUGUCUGCAUUUGUUAAUAAUCCCAAUUCCAGUUGUUACAUUCUGGGAUAGGAACCAUCCCUGACCAUUUCUGUUACUGCUUCACUGAGCAAAAUGCUCAAGGCAAGUCAGGCCUAGAAAGCUGGAUUGCCACCUUUUAUUUUAGAUUUCCAGUAUAAGUAUCAGUUGAAAAUUGUCUCCCCAGGAAGAAAGAUUAGCAUUGUCUGUGUAUUCUUCCUUCCAGAGCAGAUUGCCUGGCCAAGAAUUUCGCUUCUCCUCUUGUAUAUUGCUAUUGUACUGUGCCAGUUGCCAGCGUACAAUUAAAAAAAAAAAAUACUGUUUGCAAGGUGGAAUUGUAAACCUGGUCAUUGAAUUUUGAGGUCCAAAAACCCAUUUAUACCAUGUACCUGAUGACCAGUGUCUCUCAUUUUACUAAGGGUGCUGGGUCUGUGGAUAGACCACUGUGACUCUUGCUAUUUUGGUAUUCCCAAAAGACUUCUAGAGUGGAACUCUUAAGAGCAAUAUCUUUGGGUUCUACCACCAUUUUAAAACCCAUUAUUUAUUUGGGCUUUACCACUGUUCACUUUUAGAAAAACUACCUAAACAUUCUAAUCCUUAAGUUUCUUCAUCUGAAGCAUCUACCACCCCUUACUUAUUUCAAGAAGAUUGCUGUAAAAGAAUGAAAUGAGAGAACAUAUGCUGAGGCACUUUUGAAAACCAUAAUUCAUCUUACUUGAUUAAUCUAUUACAUAAAUAAAAUGCACACUAUUUAAAUCUGCUAAUUUAAACUAGCCUGAAGCACUACACUGAAGUGAGGGAUUAGAAAUGAUGGGUCCAAUUUCCCUGUUUUUGAUUGAAAAAUAAGCCAAGAUCUAAUCAUUCUUCUGGACAUGAAUUUCAACAGCUGCUUGGUAAAAUGAAUAAUAUCCUAGUCUCUAGUGUGCAGGGUGUGGCAGAUAAGUGUUUAAUAUGGAACUCCUGAAGCAAAUAACUAGUGGUCACAACAGCAGUUCUUUGUAAUCACUGAAAAAGGAUACUAUUCCUCUGACAAGGAUGUCAAAAGAUCGGCCCAGCUCAGGGUGCAGUAUGCACUACUAGCUCCUUGGACAGCUGUAAGAAGAGUCUCUGGCUCUUUAGAAUACUGGAUCAAUUCUGAGCUGGUUCUAUACCCCCACUGAAGAGGAAGGAUGGAUCAAUUUUAAGUGGAUUGAAGCCUGCACUAGACAGCAUCCAAAGGAUAUCGGCCCUGGUUAGCAAAUGUACACCUGCAUGGGAGUUUGACUUGAAGUAAAUAAUUUAAAAAGUUAAUCUGUGGUGUCUGCUAAAAUAUUCUUAUUUGUGAAAGUGUUCUGGGAAUUUACCAUAUUAAAGAGAAGAAAAUUGAUAUCUGAACUGAGUUCCAAAAUGUAAUCACUUUCUCUGGCUUUAGCUUCCCUUUAAUGGAAAGGGAAUGCUUCUUGAACAUGUCAUCAGUGUAAUAACAAAACUAGAAGGCUUUGGUCUAAUGUAGCCAUACUCAGUAAAUAUGGUUCAGAGUGGAUCAGAAGAUCUGGAGAGAUUGGACUAGUCAUUUCCUUUUAGGUGUCUUAACUGGGUUUUGGUGUCUUCCUGAGUCCUGUCUUUCUUCUCAAGGACGUUCUGAGCAUGUGAAACCUGAGGACUGCAAGUAGCUCUAAGCAGCUUCACAUUCAGCAGAUCUUUCCUUUUGAGAAUCUGGAUAAACUCCAAAUAAUCUAAGAUGAUGGCUUGCAGGCCACCUGGAAAAAAAAAAAGAUCUUCCUCUGAAGAAAAGGCUUGUUGCUCUACAGUGUUAGUGACCCAUUCCCUUUGACGAUCCCUAGGUGGAGAUGGGGCAUGAGGAUCCUCCAGGGGAAAAGCUCACUAUCACUGGGCAACAACCCUAGGCUAGGAGGCUUUACCAAGAUUCUUUCCUGAGCCCAGGUAGGAAGAUGAAGUCUCACAACAACCGCCACACAUCAGAGGUGGCUCCUGAUUGUUCCCUUCUUAUCUGCCAAAUCAUUGUAUCCCCAAAACAAUGCAGAGAGCAAGAAAUUUGAACACAUCAAAGGAAGAUCAACAUGCCUGGCAUGCUAACAUUUUAGAACAGCGGAAUGAAUGUGUAUUUCUUUGUCUAUUUUUUUUCUUGAAUCUCUUUGGUUUUCCUUCUCUGUCUAAAGUGUGUCUCAGCCAUUCCAUGAUUCUCUUGUUAGUUUCUUCUCUGUGUAUCUUUGUCUCAUUUUCUUGUUCCUAAGAGUUGUCUGUGCCUUGUCUUGGAUGUCUCUCUCCAGUUUUUUCAUUUUGUUAGUGAUUCUCUUUGUUCUCCUAGAUCUGGCUCUUCUUUCACUGUUCUUCCUUUUGUGUCUCUGUGUCACAUGAUGUGUGCUUUUUGUUCAUUUCUUGUUCUGCCUAUACCUCUCUUCUUGUUCUGUUGUGAACUCUGAUUUUUUGUCUUCCCUUACCUUUCUUAUUGGUUUCACAUUUCACCUUUUUCUCAUUCUGCCUUCCCUUCUACUUUUUCUACUCAUUAUCUCAAAUUUCUGUGUCUCUUGGGCCAUUUUCUCUCUAUUUUGUCCUGCUUUGUCUCACUGUCUCUUUUUCUCUCUGUUUUUUGUCCUGCUUUGUCUCAGUGUCUCUUUUUCUCUGUUUUUUUUUUUUCCUGCUCUGUCUCAGUGUCUCUUUUUCUCUUUUUUUUUUUUUCUGCUCUGUCUCAGUGUCUCCUUGCUCUUUGUGAUUUUUCCAUUUCAACAUUCAUCUCUGUUCUCUUGUUUCUUCUCUGCUUUUCCCCUUCUACUCACCUUUGAGUAUUUCAGCCUCUUUGUGAGUCUGUGAUUCCCCCUCUUUGACUUUAUGCAGUCCUCUAUCCUUGCAUAUUUUUGUGCAUUUGUAUGAUCAUGUGUGUGUCUUUGUGACAAAGGGGCUUCCUAACCCCUUCCCAAUAGGUACAGUGUGUCAACUAUCAAAAUACACAUUGCAGAGCUGUUCGUUAUGCCAGGACACCCUGUGAGAUGACCCAAGACCUAUGAUGGACAGAAAGUGGAAGGCCCAUAAUGGAGAGAAGGCCCAAAGUAAAAGACAGAUGGUUUGAGACUUGAGACCUAAAGACAAAAAUGGAAAACCUGUCUCAAGAUAGAUGGAAACUUCAGGCUUGAGACCAUCCAAAGUCCUGACAACCAUGAUGUAAAAAGGUGGCCCUUGUUGGAUAGAAGACCUGACUGAGUUGGAUGGAAAGUUCAAGACUUGAGUUAGAUAGAAGUCCAAAGACCCAGAGUAGGAGACUGAAGGCCUAAGAAUGGGGACCCAUCGAAAGCCUGAGACAUAAGACACCAUGUCUAAGACCUGAGAUAAAAACUUUAGCUUGAAGAUCUAAGAUCCAAGGAUGGAAGGCCCCAGACACACAUAAAGACCCAGGACUCCAGCCUCUAGAUGGACAGAAGGUCAAAGAGAGAAAUCUAUCUCAAGGCUAAAUUAGGUGGGAAGCUAGAAGCCCAUGACAAGAAUCCAAGAAGGAUAGAAGCCCCAAGACCAAAGGAAAUCCCAAGAUGAGAACGCUAAACCCCAGCUUUUUUCUAUUGCCAUCCUUCCUACUCUUGGACAUUUUCAGUUCUCCCUUGACAGUUCUUAUGUUUCCAUUUAAGCCCACUUUUUUGAGAUGCCCUUUUAGAUGUUGCCAUUACCUUAAGGAAACAUAUCUUUACAUUGCCAAUAUUAUACUUGGUCCAGUCUUAAGCCAAUUUUUAUUACAGUUUUGGGCCAUUUAUUGUUUGUUUUUUAAAUUUCCAUUUGUCUUUGCCUCCAAUUCACAUGAGAGAGACAUAUAGGUAACAUUGUAUUUCAGUUGUCCCUUUUCUUUAGGAGCUAUAGGCUGAUGAGCAAAGGCAAGCAUCAGGCUGUUGUGGGAAAAAAGGUGCUAGGCUAUUUAGAGAAAAUGUGAAGAGAUGUUCCAGGCCAAUGAGAAGAAUUAGACAAGAAAUACCCAGAUGUGCCAGACUGUUGAAGCACCAGCCAGAAACACCUUACUUCUUUGAGCUUGGGUGAGCAGGAUUCCUGGGGUUUGGGAUUCCUAGUGAUGGUUAAAAAACAGAUGAUAGUUCCUGGGACAGAGUGAGGCCCCAAGGAGGCAGUUUGAACUCCCUGCUCAUAGUAGUGGCCUAAUAAUUUGGUAGACUGUGCCAGUACUGCUCCUGGGUUUAAUACCCACCUGAAGGUUUAAAGGUGAGAGAACUUGGGAAUAUUUACUUAGCAGGUUUAAUCCUUUCCUUGAUUUCCACCCCCUCCCCUUACCAUGAGAGAAGAAAAUUUAAACAAUUGAGAAUAUAUGUGAAAGCAUUGUAAAGCAGAGAAAAAAGUGCAAGGCAUUCUCAUUAAUAGUAUAUCAGCAGCCAUGCACAGCUGACAUUUAAAGUGUACUGUCAGUUGUGAAGCAUUAUGUAAAUCAGGGGUCAUCACACCCUUUCUGUAAAGGGUCAGAUGGUAAAUAUUUUAGGUUUUGUGAGCCAUAUGGUCUCUGACACAUUUUUUAAAAUUAACCCUUUACAAAGAAAAACUACUGUUAGCAUGUGAACCAAGUAGAUUUGGUCUGUGGGCCAUACUAUCAUCCCUGAUGUACAUACCAGGGAUUGUGUGCUGAAUAAUACUUGUGUGUGCCUGUCCCUGAGCUAGACACUUAAGGAUGCAAUAAUUAUUUACUAUUACAUCCAGGUGACCUGAAGAAAAAUAUGUGAAUGUGCUUUGUAAACUGUAAAGCACUUAAAGAUUUAUGAGUUUCAGAGUUGAUGAAUGAAUAUUGACUACACAGUAUGUACAUUCUACUGUACAUUCUACUAGACACUGUGAAUACAAAGAUUAAAAGAAGCCUGAAUAAAGUACUUUGUCAGAAGUAUGUAAUACUAUGAAGAUAUUAGGAAUUGUUUGAUAAAUGAAUAAUUCAUAUAUUUGUGGCCAUCAUGUUUCCGCUGCUCUGGUAAUUUUAAGUAAAAGUACAGUAUUCCAGGUAGCAGAAAAGCAAACACAUGGAAGCUGCUUUUAAAGCAUAAAAUAUACUGCAAACACAAGGGAUUAAGCUAUUGUGAAAACUUAUAACAUGUCACAUACCAUGCUAAGUGCUACAGAUGUCAAAGGGAAAACAGUGUCCUCAGUAGGGAAUUAAAAAUGUCAGAUUAUGAGGUGCAUAUUAAAGUACUUUGUAAACUAAAGCACUGUAUAGAUACCAGUGUGUUACAUGUUUAUGAAUAUUAUUUGCCUUUUAUGGGCCAGGUAUAUUUUGGGUACUCUGAAAUCUAAGAUAAUGCUUCCAAGUAAUAAGAGGGGGGCUUAUGUCCUAGACUAUUUAGACGUAAAGAAUUGGAUAUUGCUUGUUUUAAUCAAUCAAGACUUUAAUGGUCAUGUCAAAUUAAAUUAUCACCAGUAUAUUUUACCAGGUAACAGGUAAAUGUAAUGAUUGAGAUUGCACUUGCACUUUCUAAAGUGCUAUAUAAAUACAAGACAUUAGCUGUUUUCUGUGUGAAUAAAACUUUCUGUGAGAUAGGCAUUGUCUCCAGAAAAUUCUCAUUGUGUUCCUGACAUCCACUAUGACAAAGGUAAUAUAAAUAGUUAUAGAAACUGAGGGUUUAAAUACUUGUUGAAUGAAUGAAUGAAUAUCAGUUACUUACUAUGUGGACUCACUAUUAUAGGCACUAAAGAGAUACAAAGAUUUAUCAUUUCAUUGUGCUUACAGCUGAGAAUAAGCCGAUACAUGUGUCAGCAUUUUGGGAACUCUAAAGCAUCAUGUAAGUGUAACUACUGAUUUUCUGAUUUGGUGCUGAGUACUGGGCUUAUAAAAUUAUAUCACACUUAUACUAUGAAAAAAGUUGGAAAAAUCUGAGGAAGAGUUCUUAACUAUUAAACACUCUGAAUAUAAUGUGCAAAGGAUUAAAUAUCUGGUAAAUGCAAAACUGGUUAAUAAUUGUCUAUUACGUGCCAGUCUCCUUGCUAGGCAUUAGGGAUGUGAAGAUAAACCAUCUUGAUUGUGUCCUGGGUAGCAGCAGAUAAUGUAUAAAAUCAAUUUAUAAGUCUUAAACUGCCAUAUAUGUAUAAGCAAUAUCUGCUGAAUUAACAUUGAUUAUUUACUCUGUCUUAUCUGUGGAGACAACAAAUGGGGAUGCAGAAAUUAUCAUUAUUAUUGAACUUACAACAGAGAUCUGUGUAAAUUUACAAGCCUGCUAUUCUAUACAGAUAUAAGGAAAUAACUUGGCUUAAUGAAUGAUUACUUUCUAUGAGGCUUAGAACUAUGCCAUGCCUUAGGAUAUAAAAAUGAUUUUAUUCUUAUGAGGUGUUCAUAGGAAGAAAUAAGGAAAUCCAGUGAGAAAUAAGGAAAUAAGUGAGAUCCAGACUAAAAGUUAAGCACUACUAAGCUUAUUUAAUAAAAACAUGGGAAAAAUGGAAUUGUGCCAGGAAGUAUGCUAAAUGCUGAACUCUGUGGAAAGAUAAUAUCUGAAUCAGAGGGUGUCUUUGCUCUCUAGCUAGACUGAAGAGAUGGGAAAUGUUUUUAAAAAAGAAGAUGUUAUAGUUCUCUAUCAGUCUUUAAAAUGUUGAAUGCUGAAGGUGGAGGUAAAUGAGAUCCACCCUGCCUGGCUUAAAAUUAAAUGGCUCAGGUUUGAUUUUAGAUUCAUAUGAUAAACCUAGAGCAUCUUUUAUGUGGAAUACAUCAUUCUAGGUCCUAAGAGAAGUGAAAUGGCUAAGUCAAAAGGGCAUCAGAAUACAGAUUAUAGAUGAAGAUAAGAAAACAUCAUUGAUUUUUAAGUAGAUAUUUGAGUGCCUGUUUUCUGGACAGUAUUAUGCUAGAUAAAUUAGUUGAGUUGGCCUGGUCCAGAAAACCUAUUGACAUGCCUUAGAGAUGAAAAAAAAAAUAGAAAAAUAAGGCAUGAUUCUUUUAAUGUUAAAUGAAGACUUUUUUCCUAAUUCUUUCUAAUUUUCACUUGCUCAUGGACCUAGUUUGAAGCCAGAAGACUGAUAAUAAGGGAGCUUAGGGUUUGUCCUUUAAUUCAUUACUUUAACAUUCUGUUUUGAUUAUAGAUGAAUGGUUUAAGAUGAGAAUUAAGAUAAAACAACUGGUUUUAAAAAUAUUUGCUUAUUGGCCUGGCAUAGAGUCAGGAAGCCACUUGAGCAGUAAAGAUUUUUUUCUAGAUUUUUUGUAUUUUGUAAAAAUUUAUUUACCCUGUAUAAUGUUCUCAAAUGCAGAGAAUGAAGAGACUUAAAGGACCUAUACCAAAAUGUACUUUAAUCUCACUAGUUUAUGGUGGAAACAUAGGAACUAAUUUAAUAAGAGACUGCAGUUCUUUCAGUUUAUUGAGCAGCUGUGAUAGUAAGACACUGAGAACAAAUGAUCACCUUCUCUUUGGCAUGUUUUAUAGAGUGGGAAUAAGAGAGAACUUUUCAUUUAUACAAACUUUGAAGAAGGUGAUGUUAAAUUGGAACAGAUCUGGUAAGAAAGGCACUUAUUUUGUCUUGGAGAUGCAAUAGGACAAAUCAAAAACAAACAAAACAAAACAAAACAAAAAGGAAUGAAAUUCUUCUUUAAAUGGAAGUGUCUAUUUCAAGGCAUUGUGUUAAUUGCUAGACAGAAAACAAAAAAGAUCUUGACUGAAAGAUACUUUUUAGUUAGCUUUGAGACUAGAAUAUAAGAGAUUACUGUUCAUUUCUUCAUUUAUUCAUUCUACAAGUACAUUUGAAUGCCUAUUAUGUAUAAAGCUCUUUGCUAUGUUCCCAGAUAGCCCCAGAGACAUGAAAAAAACAAAAACAAAAACAAAAAAUAAAUGCUUUCCUAGAGAACUUUUAAAGCUUUUCUUUUGGCCUGUUUUCUGGUUAGGGGCAUGGCAUAGUCCAUAAAUAAUGUUGUGGGUUUUAAUUACUGUUCCAUGUUUCUUCUACCACUCUGGCCACUACAAUAAGCAGGGUUUUCUAUUGAGCUUGCUCUUUAAGUUGCAGGAACUUUCUUUAUAAUAGGCACUUUAUUUUUCCUGGCCCAUCCCUAAUGAAAAAUGACUGUGACUGCUGCUGGACAGAAGGAGGGAUGACAAACAACUAAUUCCCAAAUUCCAGUUUCAUUGGUACCAGCAUUGGGGAAACACUUAUACUCUAGCCACAAUUGGUUUUAAAAUGCAUUUACCAGUUUUGUCUGUUUUUAAUUGUUUACAUUUUUACAUUCUGACAAAUAUGUGCUGCCUAAAUAGAUCUCUUUGAAAUACAUAACAUAAUUGGAGAUGGAGACAUGAUUUCUCUUUUGCAAUAGUAUCUCAACUUAACCUUUAGAAAUCUCACCAUCAAAACAUGUUCAGGAAAGGACUUCUUAAUAGUGGAAUAAUAUCAGUUAAUUAAAAUAGCUUAACAAUUUUACCAUGUUUAAAAUUUCAGAAUAAUAGAAAUUGGAAGUAAUUGGCAAAAAUUGGAGGGAAUCAACAACAUUCCUCAAUCUAGGCCCAACUGGGUUUUGACCUUUUCUAUUUUUAAAUCACUCACAGAGGGUGGGAUAGGAGGAAGAGUGAAAGAAAAGGUCAAACCAGUUUCUAAGGGCAGCCUGCCUGUGUUUGGUAUUGGUUUUAAGAACAUUACUACCUCCAAGUCUAACUAGGGGAUUGCUUUUUUUAGUUUAAUGCAAUUCCGAUCAGUAGUCUUUAUUGAGAUGAAGACAUGGUACUUUGUCCCCCACUAAUUUCUGUAAGUCUUUGAGAAACAAUUUUGAGCUAGUUAUCAACUAAACCUUGAGUUAAAUAAUUAUGGGAUUUGUUAAUUAAAUCAAUGUAACCUCCAUCAGAAGGUAGUUUUAAAGUCAACAUUCACUGCAAAAGAGGAGGACUUUAUUGUUCACAGUAAUUUAUAUAACUUUUAGUUUACAUCUGUAAAUGAAGAAGGAAAUAGGUGAAUGGCAAAAGAUAAUUGGUGGAGGGAACAAAGUUGAAGACAAAUUGGGUGUGAUGUUUCUAGUUUUCACUUUGUACAUUUUUAUUUAGGCAUCAGAUAUAUCUGAAAUACUGUUUGGCCUUUAAUACUGUGGUAUCAGAUGGAUUCUGUAACACCCCUAUUUUCAAGUUGGGGUUGGGGAGUACAUUAUUGGAAAUUAGACAGGAGAAAGUAACUAAAAGCCUUCCUUUCACAGUUCCUGACAUCCUAAGACUACUGCUAUUGAUAAGAAUAAGAACAUAGUAUCAUCUGAAUUUUUAUGGCAUAAAUGAAAUUAUGAACAAAUACAUUUUUAAAGGAAAUGGCUUCAUCUCUACCCUUCUGCCUAAAAAGGAAUCUAUGCCAAAUGUUCCAAUAAAUGGGAAGAUACACUUUGACUUGUGAACUGAUGUGAAAAUGCAGAAUCUUUGAUUUUUGAGUGUUUUAAAGAUUGAAAAAUCUUGCUCAGCAUGGGUGACCACCAAAAGCAAUCUAAAGCUAUCGACAUGUCACAACUGAGACAAAUUGGGGAAUGUGUUGUCUAAUGUGAAAUAAAAUGUACUGUUUUGAAAA